rnacentral:rRNA from 1 species
AACGGCCGUACCAUGCUGAAUAUACCGGUUCUCGUUAGAUCACCGAAGUUAAGCAUCAUUGGGCGCGGUCAGUACUUGGGUGGGUGACCACCUGGGAACACUGCGUGC